GGAAGUAAAAGUCGUAACAAGGUCUCCGUUGGUGAACCAGCGGAGGGAUCAUUACUGAGUUAUCCAACUCCCAAACCCCUGUGAACAUACCUACGUUGCUUCGGCGGGCCGUCCCGCGGCGCGCCCACGUGGCGUGACCCGGACCCAGGCGCCCGCCGGGGACCCCAAACUCUUGUUUUCCAGUGUCUCCUCUGAGUGGCAUAAGCAAAAAUAAACAAAACUUUCAGCAACGGAUCUCUUGGUUCUGGCAUCGAUGAAGAACGCAGCGAAAUGCGAUAAGUAAUGUGAAUUGCAGAAUUCAGUGAAUCAUCGAAUCUUUGAACGCACAUUGCGCCCGCCAGUAUUCUGGCGGGCAUGCCUGUCUGAGCGUCAUUUCAACCCUCAGCCCCCGCUCGCGGGGCGCUGGCGUUGGGGAUCGGCCGUCCUCGCGGCGGCCGGCCCCGAAACACAGUGGCGGUCUCCCGCGGACUCCCCUGCGUAGUAGCACUACCUCGCAGAAGGGACGAGCGGGCUGGCCACGCCGUAAAACCCCCCACUUCUCAAGGUUGACCUCAGAUCAGGUAGGAAUACCCGCUGAACUUAAGCAUAUCAAUAAGCGGAGGA
rnacentral:rRNA from 1 species